rnacentral:rRNA from 1 species
UACGGGGAGUGCAAGCGUUGUUCGGAAUUAUUGGGCGUAAAGCGCGUGUAGGCGGCCUAGAAAGUCUGGAGUGAAAGCCCUCGGCUCAACCGGGGAAGUGCUUCGGAAACUGCUAGGCUUGAGUCCUGGAGGGGCGAGUGGAAUUCCCAGUGUAGAGGUGAAAUUCGUAGAUAUUGGGAGGAACACCAGUGGCGAAGGCGGCUCGCUGGACAGUGACUGACGCUGAGACGCGAAAGCGUGGGGAGCAAACAGG